CUGAACCAGCCAAGUAGCGUGAAGGAUGAAGGGUCCUACGGAUUGUAAACUUCUUUUAUACGGGAAUAAAGUAUCCUACGUGUAGGAUUUUGUAUGUACCGUAUGAAUAAGCAUCGGCUAACUCCGUGCCAGCAGCCGCGGUAAUACGGAGGAUGCGAGCGUUAUCCGGAUUUAUUGGGUUUAAAGGGAGCGUAGAUGGGUUGUUAAGUCAGUUGUGAAAGUUUGCGG
rnacentral:rRNA from 1 species